GAUGAACGCUGGCGGCGUGCCUAAUACAUGCAAGUCGAGCGAACAGAUAAGGAGCUUGCUCCUUUGACGUUAGCGGCGGACGGGUGAGUAACACGUGGGUAACCUACCUAUAAGACUGGAAUAACUCCGGGAAACCGGGGCUAAUGCCGGAUAACAUUUAGAACCGCAUGGUUCUAAAGUGAAAGAUGGUUUUGCUAUCACUUAUAGAUGGACCCGCGCCGUAUUAGCUAGUUGGUAAGGUAACGGCUUAUCAAGGCAACGAUACGUAGCCGACCUGAGAGGGUGAUCGGCCACACUGGAACUGAGACACGGUCCAGACUCCUACGGGAGGCAGCAGUAGGGAAUCUUCCGCAAUGGGCGAAAGCCUGACGGAGCAACGCCGCGUGAGUGAUGAAGGUCUUCGGAUCGUAAAACUCUGUUAUUAGGGAAGAACAAAUGUGUAAGUAACUGUGCACGUCUUGACGGUACCUAAUCAGAAAGCCACGGCUAACUACGUG
rnacentral:rRNA from 1 species